GCCAGCCUAGCUCAACCGGCAGAGCAACUGAUUUGUAAUCAGUAGGUUAUGGGUUCGAGUCCCAUGGCUGGCUCCA
rnacentral:tRNA from 1 species